rnacentral:rRNA from 1 species
GACGAAGGGGGCUAGCGUUGUUCGGAAUUACUGGGCGUAAAGCGUGUGUAGGCGGCCACGUAAGUCGGAUGUGAAAGCCCCAGGCUCAACCUGGGAAGUGCACUCGAUACUGCGUGGCUUGAGUAUCGGAGAGGUUGGUGGAAUUCUCGGUGUAGAGGUGAAAUUCGUAGAUAUCGAGAGGAACACCGGUGGCGAAGGCGGCACUCUGGGCCGGUACUGACGCUGAGGAGCGAAAGCGUGGGGAGCAAACAGG